AGAGUUUGAUCCUGGCUCAGGAUGAACGCUGGCGGCGUGCCUAAUACAUGCAAGUCGAACGCUUUGUCUUUAAUUGAUAUGAAGAGCUUGCUCUGAUUUGAUUUUAUCUGACAAAGAGUGGCGAACGGGUGAGUAACACGUGGGUAACCUACCUCUUAGCAGGGGAUAACAUUUGGAAACAAGUGCUAAUACCGUAUAACACUAACAACCGCAUGGUUGUUAGUUGAAAGAUGGUUCUGCUAUCACUAAGAGAUGGACCCGCGGUGCAUUAGCUAGUUGGUAAGGUAAUGGCUUACCAAGGCGAUGAUGCGUAGCCGAGUUGAGAGACUGAUCGGCCACAAUGGGACUGAGACACGGCCCAUACUCCUACGGGAGGCAGCAGUAGGGAAUCUUCCACAAUGGGCGCAAGCCUGAUGGAGCAACGCCGCGUGUGUGAUGAAGGGUUUCGGCUCGUAAAACACUGUUAUAAGAGAAGAACGACAUUGAGAGUAACUGUUCAGUGUGUGACGGUAUCUUAUCAGAAAGGAACGGCUAAAUACGUGCCAGCAGCCGCGGUAAUACGUAUGUUCCAAGCGUUAUCCGGAUUUAUUGGGCGUAAAGCGAGCGCAGACGGUUAUUUAAGUCUGAAGUGAAAGCCCUCAGCUCAACUGAGGAAGGGCUUUGGAAACUGGAUAACUUGAGUGCAGUAGAGGAAAGUGGAACUCCAUGUGUAGCGGUGAAAUGCGUAGAUAUAUGGAAGAACACCGGUGGCGAAAGCGGCUUUCUGGACUGUAACUGACGUUGAGGCUCGAAAGUGUGGGUAGCAAACAGGAUUAGAUACCCUGGUAGUCCACACCGUAAACGAUGAGUGCUAGAUGUUCGAGGGUUUCCGCCCUUGAGUGUCGCAGCU
rnacentral:rRNA from 1 species